AAUCAACGCUGGCGGCGUGCCUAACACAUGCAAGUCGAACGCGAAAGCCCCGCAAGGGGUAAGUAGAGUGGCAAACGGGUGAGUAACACGUGGGUGACCUGCCUUAGAGUGGGGGAUAACGUCCCGAAAGGGACGCUAAUACCGCAUAACAUCCUGCCUUUGAAGAGGUGGAGAUCAAAGCCGGGGACCGCAAGGCCUGGCGCUCAAAGAGGGGCCCGCGCCUGAUUAGCUAGUUGGUGAGGUAAUGGCUCACCAAGGCAACGAUCAGUAUCCGGCCUGAGAGGGCGGACGGACACACUGGGACUGAGACACGGCCCAGACUCCUACGGGAGGCAGCAGUGGGAAUUGUUCGCAAUGGGCGCAAGCCUGACGACGCAACGCCGCGUGGAGGAUGAAGACCU
rnacentral:rRNA from 1 species